rnacentral:rRNA from 1 species
AUUGAACGCUGGCGGCAGGCCUAACACAUGCAAGUCGAGCGAGCGGCGGACGGGUGAGUAAUGUAUGGGGAUCUGCCUGAUGGCGGGGGAUAACUACGGGAAACGGUAGCUAAUACCGCAUACCAUCAGAUGAACCCAUUUGGGAUUAGCUAGUAGUUGAGGUACCGGCUCACCUAGGCGACGAUCCGUAGCUGGUCUGAGAGGGUGAUCGGCCACACUGGUACUGAGACACGGCCCAGACUCCUACGGGAGGCAGCAGUGGGGAAGCUUGCACAAUGGGCGCAAGCCUGAUGCAGCCAUGCCGCGUGUAUGAUGAAGGCCUUCGGGUUGUAAAGUACUGUCAGUCGAGAGGCGUUACCGACAGAAGAAGCACCGGCUAACUCCGUGCCAGCAGCCGCGGUAAUAC